GCCGGGACGCCCGGAGCGGCGCGGGGCGCGUCGCCAUCUCAUGGUGCGAGCGCGCACACACAGUGUGCACUUCAGAUGUGACGCCUCCUCUACUCCAUGCUCCUUUGAUCCUUCGGUCUUCAUGACCCCCGCCUUUUCUUUUACUGAAAUUCCUGCUUCACCAUGACUUUAUGACAUGUGUGGUACUGCUGAUAGGAGCAUAGUUUGAAUAAAAUAUUUGCUGAACGAGGCCAUUUUGUACAAAGUUUAUGGCACUUUGUCAACUAAUGGG
rnacentral:lncRNA from 1 species